AAUGCUUCAACAAGUAAUUUUGGGUCCGUAAUAUAGCCCAAAUCACAAAUAUGCCCGAAAAAGUACUUAAAGGUCAAAAUUUGGGAUCGACAAAAAGUCAAUGAAAUUGUUCCGUUGUCUUGCUUCUUUUGUCGGAAGGCUCUCUUUACGCUUUCCGAAAAGGUAUCACAUGCCAAGUUUGACCUCACGGUAUAAAAGUUAUAGAGUCAUAAAGUUUUAACCAAAAAAAACAAAUUAAAAAAAAAAGAAGGAUGCAACACGAGGACUUCCCGGGAGGUCACCCAUCCUAAUACUACUCUCGCCCAAGCACGCUUAACUAAAGGUCAAAAUUUGGAGUCGACAAAAAAUCAAUGGAUAAGUUCCAUUGUCCUGCUUCUUUCAUCGGAGGGCUCUCUUUGGGCUUUCCGAAAAGGUAUCAGAUGCCAAGUUUGGCCUGACGGUAUAAAAGUUAUAGAGUCAUAAAUUUUUAACAAAAAAAAAACAAAUUAAUAAAAAAGAGGGAUGCAACACGAGGACUUCCCGGGAGGUCACCCAUCCUAGUACUACUCUAGCCCAAGCACGCUUAACUAAAGGUCAAAAUUUGGAGUCGACAAAAACUCAAUACAUAUGUUCCAUUGUCCUGCUUCUUUCAUCCGAGGGCUCUCUUUGGGCUUUCCGAAAAAGGUAUCACAUGCCAAGUUUGGCCUCACUGUAUAAAAGUUAUAGAGUCAUAAAGUUUUAACCAAAGAAAAAAAUUAAAAAAAAAAGAGGGAUGCAAGACAAGGACUUCCCGGGAGGUCACCCAUCUUAGUACUACUCUCGCCCAAGCACGCUUAACUACGGUGUUCUGAUGGGAUCCGGUGUAUUAGUGCUGGUAUGAUCACAUCCGUUAGUAUAUGCAAUGCAAUCGUAUAUAUUCUUUUUGGAAGAAUUGAUGAACCAUUCGCCAUGGGCCCCAUCCGCUAUGUAGGGAUACCCCAUCUAGUCUUAACGAGCUUUGAUGCAUGAAAAAAUUCUAAAACAAUGCUUGAACAAGUAAUUUUUGGUCCGUAAUAUAGCCCAAAUCACAAAAAUACGCGAAAAGUACUUAAAGGUCAAAAUUUAGGGUCGACAAAAAGUCAAUGGAAAAGUUUGUUUGUCCUGCUUCUUUCGUCGGAGGGCUCUCUUUGGGCUUUCCGAAAAGGUAUCACAUGCCAAGUUUGGCCUCACGGUAUAAAAGUUAUAGAAUCAUAAAGUUUUAACCAAAAAAAACAAAUUAAAAAAAAACAGGGAUGCAACACGAGGAGUUCCCAGGAGGUCACCCAUCCUAGUACUACUCUCGCCCAAGCAUGCUUAACAAAAGGUUAAAAU
rnacentral:sRNA from 1 species